rnacentral:tRNA from 1 species
GAGGUAAUAGCUCAGUGGUAGAGUGCUUGCUUAGCAUGCAUGGGUCCUGGGUUCAAGCCCCAGUACCUCC